CUGCUGCUGAAAGAGCUCAAGGUUUAAGACUCUCAUCUGCUCCACAAAAACAGAAAGGACAGGAAUCUGGUUGCCACAGAUGAGGAAAUCCUGCCAACUCCAGCAAAGCAUGCCGGGAUCCACACUGGCUUUUGGACUGGGACUCAGAGAGUGAGAGAGAGAAGCAGUAAUUUGUUUGCCAUUGCCCUCGAGCCAGGAAAUCCAAACCCCAAGCAUUUCCCAGGCCGCAGCACAUUUGAAUCGAAGAAGAGUGUCAGCAGCUCACUCACACAGAUCGACAGCCACGCACACCCGCACUCAGGCACACACGUGUGCACACGCAUGGGGAGAAUGUUAGGGGAAGAGAAUUGUUCCAGCACCACUGCGGUUAAGAUGCUGAGACAAUCUCGAGUUUUCAGGCCAUAGCUGUCAGGAUGCUUUGGUAUAUUCAUCACCCCCUACUCCAUGGUGAUAAAAAUUUACACAGCCAACGAAACGAAGAUUAAUUUCAUGUGAAAAGCUGACAGAAUGGCCCAUGUCAUUGCUUUAUUUGUGCCAGCACUCAGUAACUCGGUGCAAGUUCCAUUGAGGUGGCAGACAUCUCGUCCCCUUGAGCCAUCUCUUCUCCUCUCUAAUGAUGCCACCGUUUUGACAAAAC
rnacentral:lncRNA from 1 species